rnacentral:rRNA from 1 species
UGAAUACGAGAUGCUACGGCGUCGAAGCAGUGUAUGUCAGACUUCCAAGAAAAGCUCGCAAUGUCAUAAAUAAAGAAUGCCUGUACCAUAACCGACACAGGUGGGUAGGUAGAGUAUACUAAGGGGCGCGAGAUAACUCUCUCUAAGGAACUCGGCAAAAUAACUCCGUAACUUCGGGAGAAGGAGUGCCUUCUUUAAGAAGGUUGCAAUAACAAGAUCCAAGCAACUGUUUAUCAAAACCACAGGUCUCCGCUAAGUCGUAAGACGAUGUAUGGGGGCUGACGCCUGCCCAGUGCCAGAAGGUUAAAGAAGCUGGUUAGCAAUAGCGAAGCUGGUGACUGAAGCCCUGGUGAACGGCGGCCGUAACGAUAACGGUCCUAAGGUAGCGAAAUUCCUUGUCGGGUAAGUUCCGACCCGCACGAAAGGCGUAAUGAUUUGGAUACUGUCUCGGAGAGGGACUCGGUGAAAUAGACUUGUCUGUGAAGAUGCGGACUACCUGCACCAGGACAGAAAGACCCUAUGAAGCUUUACUGUAACCUGAAAUUGAAAUUGGACUUUAUUUGCGCAGUAUAGGUGGGAGGCGUUGAAAGUAAUCUUGCGGGAUUAGUGGAGCCAUCAGUGAGAUACCACUCCUAUAAUGUUAGAUUUCUAACUUUGGAUCAUGAUCUGGUCAAAGAACAGUUUCAGGCGGGCAGUUUGACUGGGGCGGUCGCCUCCCAAAUGGUAACGGAGGCGUACAAAGGUUUCCUCUGAACGGGUAGAAAUCGUAUCUAGAGUGUAAAGGCAUAAGGAAGCUUGACUGUGAGACCUACAAGUCGAGCAGGGACGAAAGUCGGUCUUAGUGAUCUGGCGGUGCUGAGUGGAAAGGCCGUCACUCAACGGAUAAAAGUUACUCUAGGAUAACAGGCUGAUCUCCCCCAAGAGUUCACAUCGACGGGGAGGUUUGGCACCUCGAUGUCGGCUCAUCGCAUCCUGGGGCGGUAGUACGUCCCAAGGGUUGGGCUGUUCGCCCAUGAAAGCGGUACGCGAGCUGGGUUCAGAACGUCGUGAGACAGUUCGGUCCAUAUCCGGUGUAGGCGUUAGAAUAUUGAGAGGAGCCUUCUCUAGUACGAGAGGACCGAGAAGGACAUACCUCUGGUGUACCAGUUAUCGUGCCAACGGUAAACGCUGGGUAGCUAUGUAUGGAGAGGAUAACCGCUGAAAGCAUCUAAGUGGGAAGCCCACCUCAAGAUGAGUAUUCUC